AACCGUCUCAAAAUUAGACAGUGGUGUCUUGCUGAAAAUUUGACCUAAAAUCUGACCUAAUUCAGGGGCUGCUGCCUUCGAAAGACGAGCGUUUCUUAGACCAGUCUGGCUGAAGUGAAGUAAGACAAUCUUCCUCUUCAGAUUAUUGCAUGUUGAUUUCACCACACUGACCAUGGCAUCAUGUGUUGCCGCUCUUGUCCCAUGGCAAAAGGUGGCUACCCAGCUAGCAUAGCAAGCAUCAUGUUACAUAAACACCAUCUUAAGGCACUUGCUUCUGACAGAAAACCAAAUACAGGUGUCUAAGAGUAGGUUACUGUCACUGAGCCAUUUCUAUGAGAAAAUGAUCUUGUUUAUUGUAGCUUGUUUUGUAGGGUGACCAUAUUCUGAAUCCCUUAAAAGAGGACACAACUACGUGGGGCAGAGCAUUUUGGCUCUUGUCGAGUGUUUUUUUACGUGCUUCUAACUCAGUUUGUCCAUGCUAUCCAAACUCAAAACUCCAUCUAAAACCCGGGACAUUUGAAGGAUUUUAUAAACUCCCCCAGGACAGGCUGGACAGCCCCCCAAAAAGAGGACAUGUCCGGGUAAAAGAGGACGUAUGGUCACCCUAUUGUUUUGGUUUGCUUGCUGGUAUUUUUUUUGUCAUAUUAUUCUUUAAACCUAAGUGGCCACAGGAGCAGGACACCUGUGUGCUCCCUGAACAUCAAGCUCCAGCUGAGGUUAACCAGCAAUCAGGGGAUUUAGGCUGGGAACACGUUGUGAACUUCCUCUUGAUCCAUCGAUUCAAUUAGAGCUUUUAUCCUCUCAGUCUUUUUGUUUUCCCUUGCAGUGAGAAAGUUUGAGCUGAAUGGUGUUGGUGUUGUAAAUAAAAGUUUUUGAACAUAUCUGUAACCAUGUGUCGUUCUUCUUCUGGGUCUUCCGGCUUACCUUGUAUAGAUCAGAGGGCCCUGCACAUGCUCAGGGUCCUGGUCAAUGUAUGACAUCAUAUGACGUGGAGAGGCACAAAGUUAAAAAAGACAAAGAAACCAUGAUAAAUGGAUUGUUAUAAUUUAAAGUGGUAUGUGCUGUGUAGGUCAUUCUGUGCAAUUGUGUGACCAAAGUUGAAACGAUAGAGGAGGUAAACAUAGUGGAUGACAUAUGGUUUGUAUGUGAAUUUGGGGUCCAUGGUGAGGUUGUGCCCAGGGCCCAUGGUCAUGAUUGUAUUGGGCUCAAGGACUCAUGGAAUGAGAGGAGCCACAAAGCAUGUUCUUGAUGCAGGAAAAACAGGACAUAUUUAUCUGUGGUAACCUCUGAAUCAGGACACAGCAGAAGAAGACGCUGACUGCUAGUGAGGCAGCUGUACUGGCCCUCUGAGAGAUAAUUCACCACCAGCAGACAGAUAUAUAUCUUUAUUUGCAGUCCCCAGGAUGCAAUAAAACCCUACAGAGUGUAAAUGACUCUUUAUCUCUGCACCAGAUACAGUAGGGUAGUAUAAGGUGAUGGGGGUAAAUCUUGGAAUUCAACCAAUAGUUUUAUAGCUGACUUCAAGGAAUGCAUGGACCAUGACCGAGGUCUUGUACCAAACAGGAAGCUGGACUCUUCCGGCCUCCUGGUUAAAAGGUGCUAGAAGGAAGAGCCGGGGGCAGACCGAUCAGAUGCAGACAGGUGAGCCGGAUAAAUCUGAAUGUAAGUGUUUGCACCUUGGCUGGUAAUGUGGUGUAAAUAUCUGAUAUCUAAAUGAUUUUUCAAACCGAGUACUUGCAGUUCAUGCUUACUUAUUUGACUCUGACUUUUCUAACUUUUUAAGAGACCCUUUAAAGUUUUAGGGUCAGCAAUUUUCCUGACAUUGUCUCACACUCACACAACUCCUCACCUGCAGAGUUGGAGCAGUGCAGCAGUGAUUCCUGACCGCAUAAACAUUGGAGGAUAAGACGAACUUCCAUAUGGACUCUAACGGCACCAGCAGUGGGCAAUAUGCUCGCUGGAACGAGGACAACAUCAACAUGAAUGUGGAGGCAUCACAGUCUACGAGGCUGUGGUGAGACUCAGUGAUGUUCCCAAAUGGAGGAUAAAAAGAGUUUCUGGUGCUGGAGGGGAAUAAACUUUGUCAGCGUUACGGAGCUGGGAAAUUUUGGUCAUGUGCCUGGUUAUGUUGGCAUGUUUGGGCUAAUAAGAGAAAUGCAUGACAUUAAGAAUCAAAACAAAGUGGUUUGUUAUGAAACCAAAAUACAUGAAGAGUAUGAGGUUUUGACCUGAUCUGCUUUGCUUGUAGGAUCUACAACAGAGUGUGUACUGGCCGCACUGGGGUAGUACUGAAGAUAGCAGGAGCUUUGGCUGGGCUGGUGUUCAUCUACAUGGCUGGAUAUAUGACGGGGUACUAUGUUCACAAGUGCUGAUGGUGGAGGCUGAAGAGGAGGAAGAAGAGCCUGAAGAUUAUAGAUAAAGCACCAGAGCCAAAUGUAAAGUCUGUCAUGUCUUUUAUCA
rnacentral:lncRNA from 1 species